rnacentral:piRNA from 1 species
UUCCAUGAUUUGGACAUUGUUUCCCACAAC